rnacentral:rRNA from 1 species
CAAGGGUUAACUUGAAAUAUGAAUAGCAAGAGUGUACUUGAUAGAACGUCUUCUGAAAUAAUGUAUUAGGUUCUUCCAACUCGUUAUAUCAGUAAGAUUGGGCUUCAAGUAUUUUUUAGGCUCGGCUUAACAACAAUAACAUAAAGUUUGACCUCAAAUCAGGUAGGACUACCCGCUGAACUUAAGCAUAUCAAUAAGCGGAGGAAAAGAAACCAACAGGGAUUGCCUCAGUAACGGCGAGUGAAGCGGCAAAAGCUCAAAUUUGAAAUCUAGCACCUUCGGUGUUCGAGUUGUAAUUUGAAGAUGGUAACCUUGGGUUUGGCUCUUGUCUAUGUUCCUUGGAACAGGACGUCAUAGAGGGUGAGAAUCCCGUCUGAUGAGAUGCCCAUUCCUAUGUAAGGUGCUAUCGAAGAGUCGAGUUGUUUGGGAAUGCAGCUCUAAGUGGGUGGUAAAUUCCAUCUAAAGCUAAAUAUUGGCGAGAGACCGAUAGCGAACAAGUACAGUGAUGGAAAGAUGAAAAGAACUUUGAAAAGAGAGUGAAAAAGUACGUGAAAUUGUUGAAAGGGAAGGGCAUUAGAUCAGACUUGGUGUUUUACGAUUAUCUUCUCUUCUUGAGUUGUGCACUCGUAUUUCACUGGGCCAGCAUCGAUUCGGAUGGUAAGAUAAUGACAGUUGAACGUGGCUCCAUUCGUGGAGUGUUAUAGCUUCUGUUGAUAUUGCCUGUCUGGAUCGAGGGCUGCGUCUUUUGACUAGGAUGCUGGCGUAAUGAUCUAAUGCCGCCCGUCUUGAAACACGGACCAAGGAGUCUAACGUCUAUGCGAGUGUUUGGGUGUAAAACCCGUACGCGUAAUGAAAGUGAACGUAGGUGAGAGCUCUUUUGAGUGCAUCAUCGACCGAUCCUGAUGUUUUCGGAUGGAUUUGAGUAAGAGCAUAGCUGUUGGGACCC